rnacentral:rRNA from 1 species
AUGGCCCCUCAGGACGCGGCUGAAGCCCCGACAGACGCCGCGGAUCCUCCACCUCCCCCUCCUCAGACAGAGGCUGAAGUCCCGGCGUCGCCCCGUGGCGCUGAGGUCCUGACCGGGGCCCCUGAUGCCGGGGUUCUGCCCGCGGCCCCUGAUGACGAGGUUCCGGCUGGGCUACCCGAGGUGAAGGCGGUGGCCGCCGCUGACCCCGAGGGCAGGUCGCCAGGGUCGGGGUCCGGGUCAGGCUCCUCCAAGGGCGUCCGUACCACGGUCAAGCAGGUGCAGUGGAGCCUCUUCGGCGCCGACAUCAGCAGCAGCGCUGAGCCGGAUCCGUUCAGCGACCUCCUGGCGGACGGCGCCGGCGACGCAUUACUCGGAGCGCAGGUUUCAGGUUUCGGUGCCAGCAGUGUCGGAGCCGUGGAUCACAGCUUCUACAAUGGAGCGGGCAGCAGCAAUGCCAGUUCCCAGCUGGGCUGGGGGACUGGUUCCGGGGAAUUCCUGGCGGAUGGCGGUGUUGGUGAAGACGCCUUUUUCGGAGUGCAGGGUUCAGCUCUAGGGACUGCUGGUAGCGUUGGGGCGGCGGAUCAUAGUUUCUUCAAUGGAGUGGACAGCAAUGCCAAUUCACAGUCGUAUAUGGGUGCUGGUGUCGUGAAGUCUGCGGAUCAUCAGAACACCAGUGCGCAGUCUGACUGGACCGCCGGGGCUGUGGACCCCUCGGAUCCCUACCCUGGCUGGAAGUGGGACGUGGCAACAGGGCAGUGGUAUCAAGUGGAUGCUAUCGGUGCUCAAGGCUUUGCUGAUAAUGGCGGUGCUGUAGCGGCCUUCGGGAGCGAAAAUGUUCAGCAGCAGCAGCAGCAGCAGCACCUCGGUGUUUCGUACCUGCAGAACUCUUCACAGGCAGGGUUGGAGACCAUCACGGAGGAGGGCAGCGCCGCUGCCGCCAGCUGGGGCCAGGAUCAGAGCAGCGCAGCCGCAGCGGAGUACCCACCAAACAUGCUCUUCUAUGCUGAGUACCCUGAACAUUACUAUGACACCAACACUCAGCAGUGGUUCACGCUCGAGUCAUAUCAGCAAAGUGUCUUGCAAGCUGCAACUCCGCCAUCAGCAGUAGAUGCAUUUGCUGGGGCAGGUCACAGUGUAGCUCAUACUGGGAAUACUCAGGCAAGUAGUUUUAAUCAGCAGAACCAAUGGCAGCAUGGUUCGGUAGCCAACAGCAUGCAGCCUUAUACCGAGAAUCAGAUUAGUCAGCCGGCGUAUACUGAGCCUUUGAAGCCCUCUACAAAUUAUGGAGCUGCUAUCAACACAUUCGUGCCUAAUAUCAACACAUUCGUGCCUUCUACAAGUCAAUACAGUGGUAGUGGCGAGGGCCACCAGGUUAGUAACAAGGUUUUCCAACCUACCAGUUAUCAGAGUGCUGCUCACAAGGGUUUUGAACCGUAUAAAAACAAUCAAAGUGCUAUCAACACAUUUUUGCCUUCCACAAGUCAAUACAAUAGUAGUGGUGAGGGCUACCAGGUUAGUAACAAGGGUUUCCAACCUACCAGUUACCAGACUGCUGCUCAUAAGGGUUUUGAACCACAUAAAAACAAUCAAAAUGCUAUCAACACAUUUUUGCCUUCUACAAGCCAAUACAGUGGUGGUGGUGAGGCCCACCAGGUUAGUAACAAGGGUUUCGAACCUACUAGCCAUCAGAGUGCUCACAAGGGUUUUGAACCGUAUAAGAUCAAUCAAAGUACUUCUGCUAGCCAUGACAGUGGGUCCAGGGGAUUUGAGCCUUCACAAGGUCACCAGGGGUUUAAACCUUUCACAAAUAACCAGAGAAGCACAGGAUUUGUACCUUCUACAAGUCACCAGAUUGCCCACAAGGAAUUUGAACCUCCGAAAGAUAAUCAAGCUCACCAUGUAGCACACCAAUCUUCAUCAGGCCAUGGUUAUGACUAUCCGAAUGGCUUUGUUGAGCCACAAAAAGGUGUUCCUGUAACAAGCAUGUACCAGAUGCAAACACAGACUGAUCCUGCCACACACAUGCAUUUACCAAAUAACUAUGUGAGCAAUGAGAACUCCAUGAGCUUUCCUCAGCAGCUAGCUCCAUCUCAACAACUCGGCUACUCCCACCACGAGGAGAGGUCGUCAGCUGGACGCCCACCACAUUCGCUGGUUGCGUUUGGAUUUGGUGGGAAGCUUGUAGUUAUGAAAGAGACCAGCUCGAUGACUACAAACUUUGACAGUGGAAAUCAGAGCAAUUCUCGAGGCACACUGUCAAUUCUUAAUAUAUCGGAGGUUGUUGCUGAUAAAAUUGAUCAACAAGGCAUCCCUAAUGGCAGUGCACUUAGCUACUUCUAUGCUUUGUGUCGUCGACCUAUUCCUGGCCCCCUUGCCGGAGGAAGUGCUGCAGCAAAGGACCUGAAUAAAUGGCUUGAUGAUAUUAUCGGAGGCUACGAGUCUUCUGUCAGCGAUUUCCAAGGAGGGGAUGUUCAGAAGCUGCUUAUAUCGUUGCUGAAAAUAUCAUAUCAACACUAUGGAAAACUCCGUUCACCCUUUGGGCCCGAUCCAUCGCGUGAGGGUAUGGAUGGCCCAGACACUGCAGUAACAGCGCUUUUUUCAUCAUGUAGUAGUAAUAGUGCCCGUAUGAGAGACCAUUGCAUGAAAAAUAUCCCCUCAGAAAACCAGAUACAGGCUACUGCUCAAGAAGUUCAAAAUCUUUUAGUUUCUGGUAAAAGGAAAGAUGCGCUUCAGUAUGCGCAGGAAGGUCAGCUUUGGGGACCUGCACUGAUCCUUGCUUUACAACUUGGUGAUCAGUUUUAUGCGGAUACUGUGAAGAAAAUGGCUUACUGUCAUUUCAAAUCUGGAUCACCUUUGAGGACAUUGUGCCUUCUUAUCGCUGGACAACCAGCAGAUGUUUUUAAGCCUGAGAACCCUGUCGAUGCCAAUUAUGCCACUUUACAUGCGCAGCAACAGCCUGCAGAGGGUACUCCUGUGGGCAUGCUGAAUGACUGGCAACAAAAUUUGGCAAUUAUAACUGCAAACAGGACAAAAGCAGAUGAGCUUGUAAUCACUCACCUCGGGGAUUGCCUUUGGAAAGAGAGAAAUGAGGUUGCAGCUGCUCAUUCAUGCUAUUUAGUUGCUGAGCUAAAUAUCGAUCCAUACUCUGAAAGUGCAAGAAUGUGUUUACUCGGAGCAGACCAUCUGAGAUGUCCUCGCACAUUUACCAGCCCUGAAGCUAUACAGAGAACAGAGUUGUAUGAAUAUGCGAAAGCCCUUGGAAAUUCUCAGUAUAUCCUCCUGCCAUUUCAACCAUAUAAGCUGAUAUAUGCAUACAUGCUUGCGGAGGUUGGGAAGGUCUCUGAUUCACUAAAGUACUGUCAAGCAUCUUUGAAGCUCCUGAAAUCCUCCGGCCGUGCGCCUGAACUAGAAGCAUGGAAGCAAUUGUUUUCAUCUCUGGAGGAGCGGAUACGCACCCACCAGCAGGGUGGUUAUGGCACAAAUCUUGCUCCUGCAAAGCUUGUUGGAAAGAUUUUCUCAACAUUUGAUAAAUCUUUGUCCCGCAUGAUGGGUACACAACCCGCACCAAUGCCGCCAUUGUCACAGGGCUCUUCUGGUGACAGAGAUUUCUAUCCUGUUCCUCAAGUUACAAAUCCUGCUCCUCCGGUUACAAACUUUGUAAAUAGUCAGUCACCGAUGCCUAUGUCAUCUUCUACUUCGGAGCAGUUUAUGAGUGAAAUAGCAGAAAAUAGCGACCCUGACAAGAAAGGCGCACAUAGCAGAAGUGUCUCUGCACCAGACUUAAAGAAAAAACAGGGUGGUGGAUCAGAUAAUGCACAAAGCACAUCAGGUUCAGGCAGUUCGCGAUUCGGAUGGUUGCUGCAGAAAACAGUGGGACUUGUUUCGAAAUCUUCCAACCAGGCCAAGUUGGGGGAAGAGAACAGUUUCUACUAUGAUGAGAACCUGAAGCGGUGGGUGGAGCGAGGUGCUGCGAUCCCUGCUGCCGUGGAGCCUCCUCUUGCCCCACCUCCUACAAAAGCCUCGUUCCAGAACGGCGUUCCAGAUCACAACACCUCGACUGGGCCCCCCAGCGGCGGAGGUUAUACUCCUAAUGGAUUUUCAGAAGCGAAACCUCCAAAUCCUUCGGAGCCGGUUUCAGGGAUGCCGCCGAUGCCACCUAGCCAGAAUCAGUUCUCAGCACGUGGGAGGGCGGGUGUGAGAUCAAGAUACGUCGACACAUUCAACAAGGGUGGUGGCGGAAACUCCUUCGGAGGGCCAUCAUACAACAGACCAGCCAUGCCAUCGGUGAACAAGCUGCCCGCCGCCAGUUUCUUCGUCCCAACUCCAGCCGCAGAUGCUUCAAUGCAGCCGACCGAGACAGCAGCCGACGCGCACAGCGAAUCCGCAAGCCAGGACGGGCCAUCGUCCUCGCCGGCAGUUGAGUCCUCGUUCUACGCCUCCCCGCCACCCCCAAUGCAAAUGCAAACGGGCAUGCAGCGGCACCCGAGCAUGGACAACAUCAUGACCCCCUCUGGCAGCGGCAACGGCUCCUUCUCGAAGUCACGGGCAGCAUCAUGGAGCGGGACAUACUCGGAGCAGAUGAGCAGCACCGCCGCCUCGAGAUCGCCGGACGGGCAGACCAUGCAGUCCCCGCCAAUGAUGCCCGGUGUGAGACCUUCCCACAGCCGCUCCCACAGCAACUCGUCCCUUAAUCGGUUCAACAGCGGUGGUGGGUUCGGGGAGGAUCUCCAGGAGGUGGAGCUCUGA